ACGUAGGGUGCGAGCGUUAAUCGGAAUUACUGGGCGUAAAGGGCGCGUAGGCGGCCUUCUAAGUCGAACGUGAAAUCCCCGGGCUCAACCCGGGAACUGCAUCCGAUACUGGAUGGCUUGAAUCCGGGAGAGGGAUGCAGAAUUCCAGGUGUAGCGGUGAAAUGCGUAGAUAUCUGGAGGAAUACCGGUGGCGAAGGCGGCAUCCUGGACCGGCAUUGACGCUGAGGAGCGAAAGCUAGGGGAGCAAACGGGA
rnacentral:rRNA from 1 species